rnacentral:rRNA from 1 species
AGUGAACGCUGGCGGUAGGCCUAGCACAUGCAAGUCGAACGGCAGCACAGUAAGAGCUUGCUCUUACGGGUGGCGAGUGGCGGACGGGUGAGGAAUACAUCAGAAUCUACUUUUUCGUGGGGGAUAACGUAGGGAAACUUACGCUAAUACCGCAUACGACCUACGGGUGAAAGCAGGGGAUCUUCGGACCUUGCGCGAUUGAAUGAGCCGAUGUCGGAUUAGCUAGUUGGCGGGGUAAAGGCCCACCAAGGCGACGAUCCGUAGCUGGUCUGAGAGGAUGAUCAGCCACACUGGAACUGAGACACGGUCCAGACUCCUACGGGAGGCAGCAGUGGGGAAUAUUGGACAAUGGGCGCAAGCCUGAUCCAGCCAUACCGCGUGGGUGAAGAAGGCCUUCGGGUUGUAAAGCCCUUUUGUUGGGAAAGAAAAGCAGCAGGUUAAUACCCCGCUGUUCUGACGGUACCCAAAGAAUAAGCACCGGCUAACUUCGUG